AUAACCGUAGUAAUUCUAGAGCUAAUACAUGCUGUAAAACCUGACUUUUCGGAAAGGUUGUAUUUAUUAGAUAUCAAACCAAUAAUCUUUCGGGAUUAUUGUGAUGAUUCAUAAUAACUGAUCGGAUCAAGGUGUACCUUGAUAGAUCAUUCAAGUUUCUGCCCUAUCAGCUUUCGAUGGUAGUGUAUUGGACUACCAUGGCAGUCACGGGUAACGGAGAAUUAGGGUUCGAUUCCGGAGAGGGAGCCUGAGAAACGGCUACCACAUCUACGGAAGGCAGCAGGCGCGUAAAUUACCCAAUCCUGAUUCAGGGAGGUAGUGACAAGAAAUAACAACUCGGGGCCUCACGGCUUACGAGAUUGCAAUGAGAACAAUUUAAAUCUCUUAGCGAGGAACAAUUGGAGGGC
rnacentral:rRNA from 1 species